rnacentral:rRNA from 1 species
AGUGAACGCUGGCGGUAGGCCUAACACAUGCAAGUCGAACGGCAGCACAGUAAGAGCUUGCUCUUACGGGUGGCGAGUGGCGGACGGGUGAGGAAUACAUCGGAAUCUACUUUUUCGUGGGGGAUAACGUAGGGAAACUUACGCUAGUACCGCAUACGACCUACGGGUGAAAGCAGGGGAUCUUCGGACCUUGCGCGAUUGAAUGAGCCGAUGUCGGAUUAGCUAGUUGGCGGGGUAAAGGCCCACCAAGGCGACGAUCCGUAGCUGGUCUGAGAGGAUGAUCAGCCACACUGGAACUGAGACACGGUCCAGACUCCUACGGGAGGCAGCAGUGGGGAAUAUUGGACAAUGGGCGCAAGCCUGAUCCAGCCAUACCGCGUGGGUGAAGAAGGCCUUCGGGUUGUAAAGCCCUUUUGUUGGGAAAGAAAAGCAGCAGGUUAAUACCCCGCUGUUCUGACGGUACCCAAAGAAUAAGCACCGGCUGACUUCGU